GUGAGGAAUAUUGGUCAAUGGACGAGAGUCUGAACCAGCCAAGUCGCGUGAAGGAAGACGGUUCUAUGAAUUGUAAACUUCUUUUGUGCAGGAAUAAAGUGGGUUACGUGUAACCUUUUGUAUGUACUGUACGAAUAAGGAUCGGCUAACUCCGUGCCAGCAGCCGCGGUAAUACGGAGGAUCCGAGCGUUAUCCGGAUUUAUUGGGUUUAAAGGGUGCGUAGGUGGUUUGAUAAGUCAGCGGUGAAAGUUUGCAGCUUAACUGUAAAAUUGACGUUGAAGCUGUAGGUCUUGAGUGAAAAUGAGGUAGGCGGAAUGUGUUGUGUAGCGGUGAAAUGCUUAGAUAUAACACAGAACUCCGAUUGCGAAGGCAGCUUACUGGGAUGCAACUGACACUGAUGCACGAAAGCGUGGGUAUCAAACAGGAUUAGAAACCCCGGUAGUCC
rnacentral:rRNA from 1 species